CAUCAUCUGUCUGUAGCGCAAUUCAUCCAUUCACCUACUGAAGGGUAUCUUCAUUGCUUCCCAAAACAUCCCCUUGGUUGCUGCUCUAAACAUCUGAGCAGGUUGUUUUCAACUCCUUUGGAUAAACACCAAAGAGCACAAUCGCUGGACUGCAUGUGUUCGAGGGGCUCGCUGAUGAAUGUUCUGGAGCAGCCCUGACCCUGCUUAACGUGAGAUGUUCCUGUGAAGUUCCUUAAGGACACCAUGGUCUGCUCAUCUUUCUACUUCCAGAUCUGGAAUAGUUGAGACCAAACACUUCUUCACAAGCUUCCUGUUGCCAUCAGAACUGACACAUCCUGCAGAGGCUUCCGGCUCAUGGAUCAAGCGUGUGCAACAGGGGAGUCAAGUUGCAUUGAGUGCUUCCCAGAGGAGUUCUUUCUUCCUCCCUUUUUCUUCCCUUGCUGGCUUCCUUCUUGUCCCUUAUCUCUGCACCCUUCCCCACUUGCCCCAAAUCCUCAGACUUCCUCUGUAGAUGCCAAGUGAUGAUCUCAGAGACUGUGAGUCCAAGGGCUUCUAUUUGGGCAGGACCCUUAUGGGUCUCCUUCAGCUCUGGAUAAAGCAGGUAUUCUGACCCACUCAUACAGGCAGGAUAAAUCUGUAGGUAAUUAAAGAGCUCCCAAAUCUCCCUUCUGUCCGAUGAAUACUUCCCAUGGGGGAGAGGGAUCUCCAUUUCAUAACCCUCACUCCCUGAGAUCAGGGCAAUGAAGACUGCUGGAGUUCCAAAUGCUAAAUGAGAGGAGAUAAACAUCACUCACUGAUACCGCAGUAUGCGUUAGCCUCUCGGCUACCCCUGCCUUCCAGGGGUUCUACAGGUAGGAGACCCCAAACAUGUGACUUUUACAGGAGCUAAGGAACCUGGAGAGUGGGGAAUAUUACCUGAAGGACAGAAAUGUAUGCCACGGUAGAGAGUCUCUGUUGACAUGGGCUUAGAGCAUCUGAAAAUGAAGGCAAACCGGUUUCCUCUCUCCCUGCUUCCUUCCUUCCUCCCUCCCUCCCUUCCUUCCUUCCUUCCCUCCUUCCUUCCUUCCUUCUCUCCUUCCUUCUUUCCUUCCUUUCUUUCCUCACUCUCCCCUCUCUCUAUUUCUCUUUCCCUCCCUCCCUUUCUCUUUCUUCCUUUCUUUCUUUCUUUCUCUCUUUCUUCCUUCCUUCCUUCUUUCUUUCUCCUCCCAAUCUCUUGAUCCUUCCAUUCAUUCAUCUAUCCCUUUAACAAGAAUUCUGAGGGCUUCUCACAGCUAGGCUAUGUUACUUCCACAUUCUGGGGAUUCCGGGAUGAAUAUUGCCCACGAGGAGCUCAGUGCAGACGGAAGGCCAGAGCAAGCAAUAAUCAAACUGUAACACUAAGAAGCACUAUUAGAGCUGAGGACACCUCACGCCCUUUCUGCUGAGGUCAGAGACAUUUUCGCAGGACGUGUGAGCAGGAACCAGAAGGUGAAUAUAGAUUUUCCAGGGGGGCUUGG